rnacentral:rRNA from 1 species
AGUGAACGCUGGCGGUAGGCCUAACACAUGCAAGUCGAACGGCAGCACAGUAAGAGCUUGCUCUUACGGGUGGCGAGUGGCGGACGGGUGAGGAAUACAUCGGAAUCUACUUUUUCGUGGGGGAUAACGUAGGGAAACUUACGCUAAUACCGCAUACGACCUACGGGUGAAAGCAGGGGAUCUUCGGACCUUGCGCGAUUGAAUGAGCCGAUGUCGGAUUAGCUAGUUGGCGGGGUAAAGGCCCACCAAGGCGACGAUCGGUAGCUGGUCUGAGAGGAUGAUCAGCCACACUGGAACUGAGACACGGUCCAGACUCCUACGGGAGGCAGCAGUGGGGAAUAUUGGACAAUGGGCGCAAGCCUGAUCCAGCCAUACCGCGUGGGUGAAGAAGGCCUUCGGGUUGUAAAGCCCUUUUGUUGGGAAAGAAAAGCAGCAGGUUAAUACCCCGCUGUUCUGACGGUACCCAAAGAAUAAGCACCGGCUAACUUCGUGC